rnacentral:rRNA from 1 species
GAUGAACGCUGGCGGCGUGCCUAACACAUGCAAGUCGAACGAAUUACUUUAAAGGAAGUUUUCGGAUGGAAUUUAAAGUAGUUAGUGGCGGACGGGUGAGUAACGCGUGGGAAACCUGCCCUAUACAGGGGGAUAGCCUCGGGAAACUGGGAUUAAUACCCCAUAAAACUCUAGUAUCGCAUGAUACAUGAGCCAAAGAUUUAUCGGUAUAGGAUGGUCCCGCGUCUGAUUAGCUAGUUGGUGAGGUAACGGCUCACCAAGGCGACGAUCAGUAGCCGGCCUGAGAGGGUGAACGGCCACACUGGAACUGAGACACGGUCCAGACUCCUACGGGAGGCAGCAGUGGGGAAUAUUGCACAAUGGGGGAAACCCUGAUGCAGCGACGCCGCGUGAGCGAAGAAGGCCUCGGUCGUAAAGCUCUGUCCUAAGGAAGAAACGGACGGUACCUUAGGAGGAAGCCCGGCUAACUACGUG